rnacentral:lncRNA from 1 species
GACGUGAGGUCCCGCCCCGUUGCAGAAAGACAAGGAGCCCAUUGGUGUGUUGUGGUGCUUCUACAGGCCGGAAGGAGAUUGUGAGCGUAGUGGCUGCGCGGGACUUUUCCAGUCUAGUUCCCCUUGGGGUCACCUGAGAAACCUCAGAGACUGUAGAUGUAGACAUUGGCACUUAUCAAAAUUUUGUCCUCCAGUUUGAAGUGAGAACCACAGAUCUGAGCCGAGAUCCUGCAUUUAUGUUCAGAAAAGCAAAGGCCCAGAGAGGUCAACACCAAGCAGGAAGUUUGCACUGCUCAGCUUCAGACCUACAAGGUUUUCACCACACCAGUCUUAAGUCCUACCUGAUCAAUCAGAAUCUGUCAUUCCUCACAUGACCCAGGUGAACAUGGAAGCUAUGGUCUGUUGCCAUUUACUUAGUCAGGCUUUUCUUGCCAGAAAAAUAAAACUGAGAUUUCUUUUCCAUUUUUUUUAAGUUUGCUAGUCUUGGAUCUCUUAAAUUAUGAAGGCAAUAGCUGUUGCUUAAGGGCUAGUGCACAAAUGCCUGUUUCUGCUCUAACUGGAGGUCUGCAUGGGGAAGAACGCAAGCUGAAUCGUUUUUAUCACCUUGUACAAAGCUGACCCACAGCAGAACGAUCUGGAGAGAGUGAGAGACUUUGGAACACUCAGUCCUAAAUGAGAUGUCUUCAUCAAACCCCACCCCUCAGCACUCUGGGAGCCGUGCAAAGGAGAAGGGGGAAACUGUAAGAACUGUAAGAGCCAGCGAAGGAAAACUCCAAGGAAAGAGCUGCUUCUGGACACAGCAGGGCUGAUGCACAUGCGAACUCACAGACUGUGACGGAAGGCACGACACGUUCACAGAUUCAAACCAGACUGGGUCCCAGUGCCGAGAGGGGAAGAGAGGCUACGACCUACCUCCCUAAGAGGUGGCUUUCAAUAUGCUUUAUUUGAAGAUAGAUAGAUAGAUAGAUAGAUAGAUAGAUAGAUAGAUAGAUAGAUAGAUAGAUCGAUCGAGAUAUGCUGGGGAAAUUUAUUUCCUGACCCUGAUGUUGUUUAAUUGUUCUGUUUGCAUCCUGUAUCUGUAUGGCUAUGUCUUAGUUUAGGGAAGUUUUUUUUUCCUAUAAUCUUGUUUAUGAUCUGGUCUAUGCCAUUGACCCGGGCUUCUUUUCUCUCACUUAUGCCUAAAAUUCAAAGGUCCCGGCUUUUAAUGGCGUCCAACAUUUCCUGAAGUCCCUUCUUUAUGUUUUUGCUUCACGGUUCUCACAUUCUUUGCUUAUUUCAUCUAGAUCCUCUGUCUUUGAGUCUCGAGUCUCGUCUGCUGGAUUCAUUCUCCUUGCAAGGCUUUCCCUUGCGUUUUCUAGUUGAGCUAUUGGAAUUUUCAAUUCUUUCUUCACUUCGGCUUGAGCUUUUCUCGUCAGCGUUUCCAUCUUCAUAUUGAAUUCUGUUUUCGAAUCACGGAUUGCCCAUGUCAUUUCUAUCAGCCUUGCUUCUGUUUCCUUGGGCAUCACUCAGCCCUUGGUUCUCCUUAGGUUCCCUAUCUUUGAGUUCAGUGAGCUGUUUCUAAGUGUCUUCCCUAAACUCCUUAAGUUAUUUGAUGAAGUGUAUGAUGUUUUUAUUUUUUUGCUUCUUGGGGUUUAUCUGGGUGGUUCUUAAGGGCAAACAUUUCUACAGGACAUGUGGAUCUGUGAGUGUGUGGUGCAGAGGUCCUGCCUACAUCUCUCGUAAUAUUUUUGUUUUUACAAUGACAUCUGGAGAUGUAUAUUAAUCAGUUAGGGUUUUACUGCUGUGAACAGUCACCAUGACUAAGGCAAGUUUUAUAAAGGACAACAUUUAAUUGGGGCUGGGUUACAGGUUCAGAGGUGCAAUCCAGUAUCAUCAAGGCAGGAAUAUGGAAGCAUCCAGGUAGGCGUGGUACAGAAAGAACUGAGAGUUCUACAUCUUCUGCUGAAGGCUGCCAGUAGAAGACUGGCUCCUAGUCAGCUAAGAUGAAGGUGUUAAAGUUCACACCCACACUGACACACAUAUUCCAACAAGGCUACACCUCCAAAUAGUGCCAGUCCCUGGGCCAAGCAUAUUCAAACCAUGACAACAUGUGAAAUUCUUUUAUUAGUUCUGUGUCUGAUAUGGACAGAGAAGAUUGGGGAGGAACACAGGAUAUAUGUGCUGGGUUGGGCCUAAAGGUUGGCUAUAGCUUAAGUGGAAUGAAGUCAACUGGAAGGAAACUGAGCUAAUGUGCAGGAUGGGUAUCCUGGUCUAAUCCUGGAGUUUGGGUAGUUCUGGGGUUCGGGGUGAAUGGAGGCAAUAAUCAGCCAGACUCACCUGGUUAGAUCCUUAGUGUGCAUGAUAUAACUGGGCAGAGGUUAAAUAGGAUAUAAGAGGGGUCUGUAGGUGAGAGCAAACAAAAUGUGUCCUGACUGGAGUCUGAACGUUAAGCCUGCACAAAACAGUGUUGACUAAACUAGGCUGGGAUGCGAGGUGUGGUACUUAGUUUAGGUCUGCAGGAUUAAGGAAGACGUAUGGAAGGAAGGAUUCACAGGGCUCAUUCCUAGUGAAGAAUGUGCAGUAUCUGACUGGGCAGAGAGCUUGGAAUAUGGCUGAGGAGGAUCCUCAAGGGUGGGAGCUGUACUUUACUCAAAAGUAUCCUAGUAGUAGAAUAGAUAGAAGCCUGACUCUAUUCAUCGUUUCCUCCAAAGCAAAGAGCCCUGUCAGGUCAAGAACUGUCACUGGCUGUUAUCAAGGAGCCGAAUGAGGCUAUAAUUCAGCCUAAGAAUUAAAUACGAGAGUAUAAACUAUCCUCAGGGAAUCCUAGAACCUCAGGGUUUUUCUGAGAUAACCAUCUACUGCCAAGGAGCUAAGGAAACCAAGAUCUAGACAUUUGAGGUUCCCAAUGAAGUAUCUGACAACAGACAUUUGGAACCAAGUCCCUUCUUCAUUAGCUGUAUCUACACAAAGGCACCAUGUAAAUUGUAGAGACAUCGCUCCUAGAUCCCUGCUGAGACAGGUUCCAGGCUACCAUUUAAAAAGAGACAUAAAAAUAAGGAAUUAAUAUGAAACUAUACUGGCCCUCUCUGAACGACAAUUGUAAUUAGGGUUUAUGUUGUAAGUUUAGGGAAACUGAAAGUGAAUAUCUUUUAUUUAGAAAAUUGAGGAGACUUGAAUAGGGCUAUAGAUUAUGUACAUUAUCGUGUCAGUUAAUAUUCCUAUUUUUAUAAUUGUGACCAUUAGAGAAUUUGCUUGCAUUUGGCAACUAAACACUGAAGUAAAGUAUUAUGUACAACUUACUGUUAAAUGACUUUUUGAACCGGGGUGGGCGUGGGGUGAGAUUGUUUUGUCUAUAAAGCACAGAAGGAAAGAAGGGAAAAAGGAAGGGAAAAGAAAACGAUAACAAGAUGAGUCAAAAGACUGGCCUGUUUAAAUGGGGUGUAAUUGUGAUGGUUUGUAUAUCCUUGGCCAUGGCAUCCUUGGGAGGUGUGGCCUUGUUGGAGUAGGUGUGUCGCUGUAGGUGUGGGAUUUAAUACCCUUGUUCUGGUUGCCUGGAAGGAGGUCUUCUCCUAGGGAUCUUCAGAUGAAGAUGCAGAACUCUCAGCUCCUCCCGCAUCAGGCCUGCCUGGACGCUGCCAUGCUCCUGCCUUGAUGAUAAUGGACUGAGCCUCUGUGAUGGUUUGCAUGUGCUUGGCCCAGGAAGUGACACUAUUAGAAGGUGUGGCCCUGUUGGGGGAAGUGUGUCACUGUCAGGGUGGGCUUGGAGACCCUCCUCCUAGCUGACUGAAGAUGCUCAGUCUGUUCCUGGCUUCCUUGGGGUAAAGAUGUAGAACUCAGCUCCUACUGUGCCACACCUGCCUGGACGCUGCCAUGCUCCCGCCUUGAUGAUAAUGGACUGAACCUCUGAACCUGUAAGCCAGCCCCAAUUAAAUGUUGUCCUUUAUAAAACUUGUAUUGGUCAUGGUGCCUGUUCACAGCAAUAAAACCCUAACUAAGACAAUCACUGAACCUG